GGGAUAACACUUGGAAACGGGUGUUAAUACCGCAUAACCAUAGUUACCGCAUGGUAACUAUGUAAAAGGUGGCUAUGCUACCGCUUUUGGAUGGGCCCGCGGCGCAUUAGCUAGUUGGUGGGGUAAAGGCUUACCAAGGCAAUGAUGCGUAGCCGAACUGAGAGGUUGAUCGGCCACAUUGGGACUGAGACACGGCCCAAACUCCUACGGGAGGCAGCAGUAGGGAAUCUUCCACAAUGGGCGAAAGCCUGAUGGAGCAACGCCGCGUGGGUGAAGAAGGUCUUCGGAUCGUAAAACCCUGUUGUUAGAGAAGAAAGUGCGUGAGAGUAACUGUUCACGUUUCGACGGUAUCUAACCAGAAAGCCACGGCUAACUACGUGCCAGCAGCCGCGGUAAUACGUAGGUGGCAAGCGUUAUCCGGAUUUAUUGGGCGUAAAGGGAACGCAGGCGGUCUUUUAAGUCUGAUGUGAAAGCCUUCGGCUUAACCGGAGUAGUGCAUUGGAAACUGGGAGACUUGAGUGCAGAAGAGGAGAGUGGAACUCCAUGUGUAGCGGUGAAAUGCGUAGAUAUAUGGAAGAACACCAGUGGCGAAAGCGGCUCUCUGGUCUGUAACUGACGCUGAGGUUCGAAAGCGUGGGUAGCAAACAGGAUUAGAUACCCUGGUAGUCCACGCCGUAAAC
rnacentral:rRNA from 1 species